ACUUGGCAUAACCGCUUUUU
rnacentral:miRNA from 1 species